rnacentral:rRNA from 1 species
GACGAACGCUGGCGGCGUGCUUAACACAUGCAAGUCGAGCGGAAAGGCCCUGCUUGCAGGGUACUCGAGUGGCGAACGGGUGAGUAACACGUGGGUGAUCUGCCCUGCACUUCGGGAUAAGCCUGGGAAACUGGGUCUAAUACCGGAUAGGAGCCAUUUUUAGUGUGAUGGUUGGAAAGUUUUUUCGGUGUAGGAUGAGCUCGCGGCCUAUCAGCUUGUUGGUGGGGUAAUGGCCUACCAAGGCGGCGACGGGUAGCCGGCCUGAGAGGGUGGACGGCCACAUUGGGGCUGAGAUCCGGCCCAGACUCCUACGGGAGGCAGCAGUGGGGAAUAUUGCACAAUGGGCGCAAGCCUGAUGCAGCGACGCCGCGUGGGGGAUGACGGCCUUCGGGUUGUAAACUCCUUUCGCUAGGGACGAAGCUUUUUGUGACGGUACCUAGAUAAGAAGCACCGGCUAACUACGUG